CAAUAUGACAUAUGAUAAAUUGACUCAAAGGGUACCCAAAUAAACCAAAAGACAUUUCCUCCAUAUCCAUCUUUAAAUCAAAAAGCUGCGGACGGCGGUGCAAGGAUAAAAAGAGAUCAAAUAGCAGCAAGGAGAUGGAAGAAGCUCGAAGUCGCAGAGGGUACGUUCCAGUGCUUGUGGGCACAGGGAAAGAAGGCAUGGAUGAGAAGAUUUGGGUAACCAUCAAAGCAAUUCAGCAUCUCACCAUUGUUGAGUUACUGGAGCAGUCUGCAAAGGAGUAUGGAUACCAAAAUGGCUUGCUCAAAAUCUCAUGUGAUGCUGACAAAUUCAAGGUCAUACUUCACAACAUAUGCAAGAAAUAGUGCUCUCUCUCACACACACACUUGUGCAUCUAUGUAUGUGUGUAAGUCAGAACAACAUUUCUCAGUAUAUAUGUACAUAUAUAAUGUUUUGUUUUGGAAAAUUGAAACAUAUAAAUAUAUAUGGAUACAAAUGUGGAAUUUCUAGAAA